rnacentral:rRNA from 1 species
GGCGAACGGGUGAGUAAUGCAUCGGAACGUGCCCAGUAGUGGGGGAUAGCCCGGCGAAAGCCGGAUUAAUACCGCAUACGACCUACGGGUGAAAGCGGGGGACUCGCAAGAGCCUCGCGCUAUUGGAGCGGCCUAUGUCAGAUUAGCUAGUUGGUGGGGUAAAAGCCUACCAAGGCGACGAUCUGUAGCUGGUCUGAGAGGACGACCAGCCACACUGGGACUGAGACACGGCCCAGACUCCUACGGGAGGCAGCAGUGGGGAAUUUUGGACAAUGGGCGCAAGCCUGAUCCAGCCAUGCCGCGUGCGGGAAGAAGGCCUUCGGGUUGUAAACCGCUUUUGUCAGGGAAGAAACGCUCUGGGCUAAUACCCCGGGGUAAUGACGGUACCUGAAGAAUAAGCACCGGCUAACUACGUGCCAGCAGCCGCGGUAAUACGUAGGGUGCAAGCGUUAAUCGGAAUUACUGGGCGUAAAGCGUGCGCAGGCGGUUAUGCAAGACAGAUGUGAAAUCCCCGGGCUCAACCUGGGAACUGCAUUUGUGACUGCAUAGCUAGAGUACGGUAGAGGGGGAUGGAAUUCCGCGUGUAGCAGUGAAAUGCGUAGAUAUGCGGAGGAACACCGAUGGCGAAGGCAAUCCCCUGGACCUGUACUGACGCUCAUGCACGAAAGCGUGGGGAGCAAACAGGAUUAGAUACCCUGGUAGUCCACGCCCUAAACGAUGUCAACUGGUUGUUGGACGGCUUGCUGUUCAGUAACGAAGCUAACGCGUGAAGUUGACCGCCUGGGGAGUACGGCCGCAAGGUUGAGACUCAAAGGAAUUGACGGGGACCCGCACAAGCGGUGGAUGAUGUGGUUUAAUUCGAUUCCAACGCGAAAAACCUUACCUACCCUUGACAUGUCAAGAAUCUUGCAGAGAUGUGAGAGUGCUCGAAAGAGAACUUGAACACAGGUGCUGCAUGGCCGUCGUCAGCUCGUGUCGUGAGAUGUUGGGUUAAGUCCCGCAACGAGCGCAACCCUUGUCAUUAGUUGCUACGAAAGGGCACUCUAAUGAGACUGCCGGUGACAAACCGGAGGAAGGUGGGGAUGACGUCAGGUCCUCAUGGCCCUUAUGGGUAGGGCUACACACGUCAUACAAUGGCCGGUACAGAGGGCUGCCAACCCGCGAGGGGGAGCUAAUCCCAGAAAACCGGUCGUAGUCCGGAUCGCAGUCUGCAACUCGACUGCGUGAAGUCGGAAUCGCUAGUAAUCGCGGAUCAGCUUGCCGCGGUGAAUACGUUCCCGGGUCUUGUACACACCGCCCGUCACACCAUGGGAGCGGGUUCUGCCAGAAGUAGUUAGCCUAACCGCAAGGGGGGCGAUUACCACGGCAGGGUUCGUGACUGGGGUGAAGUCGAAACAAGGCA